UGUUUGAAAAAAAGUUGUCUCUCACCAAGGCUGCAUUUAUUUAAUAAAAAUAUAGUAAAAACAGUAAUAUUGUGAAAUAUUAUUGCAAUUUAAUUACAACUGUUUUCUUUUAGGGUUGGCACUCCGUCCAGGGUGUAUCCUGCCUUGAUGCCCGAUGACGCCUGAGAUAGGCACAGGCUCCCCGUGACCCGAGAAGUUCGGAUAAAGCGGUAGAAAAUGAAUGAAUGAAUGAAUGUUUUCUUUUAGAAAAUACUUUAAAAUGUAAUUCAUUCUUGUGUUGGCAAAAUGAAUUUUCAGGACCAUUACUCCAGUCUUCAGUGUCACAUGAUCUUUCAGAUAUCACUCUAAUAUGAUGAUUUGAUGCUCAAGAAACAUUUAUCGUAUACAAUUGUACAAAAUAUUUGUUUACAAUAUUUAUUUUUCAGGAUUCUUUGAUGAAUAGAAAGUUCAAAAGAAAAGUGUUUAUCUGAAAUACAAAGCUUUUGUAACAUUAUAUACUACCGUUCAAAAGUUUGGGGUCAGUAAGAAUUUUAAUUUACACAAUUUUUACACAAAUUUACACAAAAUUUACACAAAGAUAGAUAUUUGGAAGAAUGUUUGUAACAAAGCAGAUCUCGCCCCCAUUGACUACCACAGUAUUUGUUUCCCCUAUGGUAGUCAAUGAGGGGCGAGAUCUGCUUUGUUACAAACAUUCUUCCAAAUAUCUAUCUUUGUGUAAAUUUGUCCAAAUAUCUUUCUACAGCAGAACAAAAAACUCAACAGAACAAAUACAUUUAUACAGGUUUGGAACAACUAGAGGGUGAGUAAAAGAUGAUAGAAUUUUUUUUUUUUUUUGGGUGAACUAACCCUUAAAGGAAUCAUGCAGAAGUGAAUCAUAAUUAAAAUGAUAUUUCCCUUAUACAGACAACAGACAUCCUAUCACACAGACACACUACGGCUCUACAGGGACUCCCCUUGUACCUCAGGGAACAUGAUGUAAUAUCAAAGACUUGUCUGGACACGGAUUUAGAGGAGACUUACACAAGAGGAGUGAAACUGGCCAUUCUCAGAGUCAUGGACGAUGAUCUCUCACAAGCAACAAAGAGAUGUCUAAACUUCGGCAUCAUCCUGGAGGAAACCGUGGCCAUGGAGGACCUACCUGACUUUCCCACUGCUUUCAUGGUACUCUUUGGACUUCUAUAUGCGCUGAAUAUUGAAUAUCCAAAAGGACUUAAAUACACAUUUGAGGCAGUGCAGAACAUCUUUGUGGGAUUGGGAGAAAAGUGCACCAACAGAGUUCAGUCCCUGAAGAAUAAGCUUUUUAUUGUAUAGGGAGUUUAAAAUGCAUUGAGUUUUUUCAGAUGCUCUUAUUGUUGGUGGGUACCUUUUGGUAUAGUAAUGUUUGUUUAGAUGUUACUGUAUAUUGUGUAAUGGUGAAUUUUGAGUUUUAAGACUUGCAGAGUUAAAUUAUCUUAAAAGUGAAAUGCUUAUUAAUUUAACUGAUAUUCGUUGAUAUAGGCCUACUGUUCAUUCAUACUAAAUGUUUCAUAUUUAGGUGAGUCAGUACUUUGUAGAUGGAUGGACUAUUUUAUAGAUCCUUAAAAUUUUGACCGUGUGCUGCUGCUUAGUCACAUGUUUCAUAUUCAGUGGCAGUGUUUUGUACAACUCUUAACUGCAGUGUUUAAUUUUAGUUGUAGAGUUGCAGUAUUUUAAUUUGAGAAAUUGUAAUUGUCAUGAUGAUGGCUAUACAUUUAUUUGCAUUCAACAUGCUUGUGAAAAGGGUUUUAAAACAAAUGGCUGUUCGGAAUAAAUGUUUUGUUGCAUUGACACACAGUUUUCAGUUUUUGACUUGGGCGAUGUUAUUCUAGUUUCCAGUCAAAACAUAUUAUUACUUAGUACUAAUUUCCAAUAGCAUUUUUUUUGUUUACUCAACUUCACUAGACAUUGAGUUCUACAGACUAAAAAUGUUGAGUUGGUGCAACUUAUAAAGGUUUGUUAUAGAACAGUUUUACCUCUCCAGAAAACAAUCAAUUCAAAAAGUUCACUCAACUAAACAUUUUUUGUAUAACUGACAACUAUAUUUGAGUCAGUUUAACUGUUAUUUAUAAAAGUUGAGUAAACAAGAAAAAAGCUAGGGGAAAUUAGUACUAAGAUUUUUUAGUUGUACUGGCUUAAAAUUUUUUACAGUGCAUAUACACUGGAAGCCUACAUGUUGAACACUAUUCUGUGAAUUUCUCUGCCUCUCUAUGACACUGUCCCCUAGUGGCUGAAUUUCUCCAUCUCGUAACUUGUGCUUGAAGUGUGGUGUUUGUUUAUUUGUUUGUUUACAUUCAUGUUUAUUACAUUUUUGUACGAUUGUCAAUAAAUUCCUGAUUAAAAUGCA